rnacentral:rRNA from 1 species
GAGAACGGCCAUACUCCUACGGGAGGCAGCAAGCGGGGAAAUAUUGGCGCAAUGGACGGAAUCAGACGCAGCGAGCCGCGUAGGUGAGGAAAGCUUCGGGUAGUAAAGCCCUUUUCAAGGGGCAGCGAGACCGCGGCGNGUCCNCCUUAGGAAUAAGCAGUCGGCUAAACUACGUUGCCAGCAGCCGCGGUAAGACGUAGGACGCAAGCGUAUCCGGAUUUACUGGGCGUAAGCGCCAGUAGGCGGUCAAGUAAGUCGGAUGUGAAAGCCCCGUGCUCAACGCGGGGAAGCCAUUCGAUACUGCGUGACUAGAGAACGGCAGAGGGAAACGGAAUUUCUGGUGUAGCGCUAAAAUGCGCAGAGAUCAGAAAGAACACCGAUGGCGAAGGCAGUUUCCUAGGCCGCAUCUGACGCUGAGAGGCGAAAGCUAGGGGAGCAAACAGGAUUAGAGACCCUGGUAGUCCUAGCUGUAAACGAUGGAUGCUAGGUGUGGGCCGGAAAGGUCCGUGCCGUAGUUAACGCGAUAAGCAUCCCGCCUGGGGAGUACGGCCGCAAGGCUAAAACUCAAACGAAUUGACGGGGACCCGCACAAGCAGCGGAGCGUGUGGUUUAAUUCGAUGCUACACGCAGAACCUUACCUGGGCUUGACAUGUAGGUGGUAGUGAAGUGAAAGCGGAGCGACCCUUCGGGGAGCCUACACAGGUGCUGCAUGGCUGUCGUCAGCUCGUGCCGUGAGGUGUCGGGUUAAGUCCCGUAACGAGCGCAACCCUUGUCCUUAGUUACAAGUGUCUAAGGAGACUGCCGGUGACAAACCGGAGGAAGGUGGGGAUGACGUCAAGUCAGCAUGGCCCUUAUGUCCAGGGCGACACACACGCUACAAUGGUCGGUACAAUGGGCAGCGCAGCCGCGAGGUGAAGCGAAUCCCAACAAAGCCGAUCCCAGUUCGGAUUGCAGGCUGCAACCCGCCUGCAUGAAGCCGGAGUUGCUAGUAACCGCGCGUCAGCCAUAGUGCGGUGAAUACGUUCCCGGGUCUUGUACACACCGCCCGUCACGUCAUGGGAGUUGGUAACGCCUGAAGCCAGGUAGUCUGACCUAACGGAGGACGCCGUCGAAGGCGGGACUGGCGACUGGGACGAA